GCGCAUAUGGUGGAUGCCUAGGCAGUUAGAGGCGAUGAAGGACGUUGUAGUCUGCGAUAAGCCUGGGGGAGGUGACAAACAACCGUUAUAUCCCAGGAUUUCCGAAUGGGGAAACCCAACUCGUAAGAGUUAUCUUUAUCUGAAUACAUAGGAUAAAGAAGCGAACCCGGAGAACUGAAUCAUCUAAGUAACCGGAGGAAAAGAAAUCAAUUGAGAUUCCCUUAGUAGCGGCGAGCGAAAGGGGACCAGCCGA
rnacentral:rRNA from 9 species